GCAUCUCAGGGGAGUAUCAGCCUAACUCUAGAAACUUACGAGCAUAUUCUAACACCGUCAUGUUCCCCUGGACCAACUGGACAAACUCUAUCUCCUUCAGAUGUCGGAUGUGCUUUGAGAGGUACUCUGCAUGAAAGGAUGCAAAUAAUUGUUCCUAGGUAACUGGAACAGGCAAGGUGGUCUGUUUGAGUUCUCACCAACGGUCUGCUUCUCCCACUAGCAUGUAGGUAGCAAGGGUGACCCUCUGCUCGGGAGUC
rnacentral:lncRNA from 1 species